CCAUCCAUCCACCCAUUCAUCCUCCAUCCAUCUACCCAUCCACCCAUCCAUCCAUCUGCCCUUCCAUCCAUUUAUCCAUCCAUCCUUCCUUCCACCCAUUUAUCCAUCUGUCCAUUCAUCCACCCCAUCAAAACCCAAACCCAUCAAUCUAGGUCAUUUCAACUGUAUAUAUAUAUAUUUUUUGGGGGGAUCACUUGUAUCUUGAAUUAUUCAAUUUUCCUGUAAACAUUUAAUUGUGUUAUUAGUGAAGCAUUUAUUCAGUUAUUCCUGAAACCUUCCAUGACAAAAUAUAUUUUUAAAAAAGUGGGACAACUAAUUUUACCCCCAGAGGAGAGUCAUAUUUUGCAGUCAGUGAAGCAUUUGAAGCAGGCCAAUGCUGGUGUGUCCCCACGGUGGAUGGGCAUGAGAACGAUCCCCUGUGCAGAGCGGCUGCUCCUCGAAUCAGGUGCCGCCUCCUUCUCUUGCAGGCAUCUGGGGCCCCGCUGGGACCGAAGACACUUUAACGUCUUAACUGCAGUGCCCAGAUGCGGCCCCUGCCCCAGCAAGCGGCUCCUCCUAACCCUUUUUCAUGGAGCCCUGUCUUCUAUCAAUAUCCCUGUUCAAGUUGAAAUAGAUUUUGUUUUCAGUCCCAAAGAGGAUU
rnacentral:lncRNA from 1 species